AAUUAAUCACGCAACCUUCUUCUCUAGAGGCCUGGUCUGUAAGAAAUAGGCAGCAGGGAGUGAUCGGAUACGUCCCUCUCAAACUAUUGAUCCAAAAUGACUAUCCAUAACCAAACCUCCUCUAUUCACCACAUCACUGUCAAUAUUGUGGGGAUCUACCUUCAAGAACAACGGAAUCUCAUGUUUAUUCAGUCUUCCGAUUUCAUCAACAAUGGACAACAACGCAAUCUCAUGCUCAAUUACCUUAACGCCAUUCUCGCCCUCAUUGCUUUCGUUGUUCCAGUGCUCAUCAAACUCAUUGAUUUGAAGUUUCAGAAAGAGGCCGACUCUGUGUUUGAAGCCCACCCCAUAACCACCAUGAUGUUCUUUGCUAGCUUACUGGCGUUUGUUUUGGUAUUCGGAACUGAGUUAACCUUCCAUUCUUCUCAUCUCUCUCCUACUUGUGCCGCUCUCCUCCGCACUGCCAUGAUGUUUUCUGGUUCCCUCUCCUUGGCUUCAUUGGCAUCAAUAUUGCUGCCCGAUGCAUUGCGGCUCCUUCUAUAUGCCUUCUAUGCCUUGCUCUCACUUGCCAACUUGCAUAACCUAGUCCGGAAAUGGUAUCACUGGGUUCACCGUGCAAUCGUGGACAACCUUGAGACUGCAUUAACAGGAGUAUUCGGAGCAUCAAAGUACGAGCCAGUCAAGGUCCUAGGUGGCACCAUGAAGUUUGUUUGAGAGUAUUUCAACAGAAGCUAGAUAUAUGUCUCUUUGUUAUACAGUUGAUUGAUGUUUCUGAUGAUAGUAGAAGCUCAAGUAAGAAGAUGUAUGUCCCUAAAUUCAGACCAUAAGAAAGUGAGAGGAGGCUAUGGUGUUGGGUCAUGGAAGACCAUAAGAAAGUUGUGGGAUGCAGUUAGUUCUAAAUCGUCCUUUUCGGUGGGCAAUGGGAAAAGGAUAAAGUUUUGGAAAGAUAAGAGACCCAAAACAGCUGGGGAUAAGGUCUUGUGAUGUGUACUGUUGCAAAGGGUUCUUCAUUGGGGAAGAAGAAGUGUGUGAGAACACUCCCUUUAUAAGGUUCAUUUAGAUGUUGAUGCUGCUGCUGCAAGGAUGGCAUCAAGAAGGGCUUGGAACUAGAUAAUCAUUUUGUCUCAAUGUGGCCAGUUGCCUUUAACGAUUGGAGCAUCUUCAAAAUCUUGCGUCCAUGCAGACAACAAUGGAAAUUUCUCCUCAUCCCCAACUGUUAGGCCAACAAUCUCGUCCAAUAUGCUAAUCAUGUUGGCAAGCCAACCCAAGGCAAGAUCAAGGAACUUCAUCAUCUCUCCACCAAAGGACUUCUUUCCCUUCAACUUUUCUUCCAAGAACUUUAGGUGGAGAUAUAGCUGAUAAAUAUGACAGAGGAUUCAGUGGACUUUUGAUGAAGGGAAGGUUGAUGGUAACAAAGAUGUUGGAAGUAUGAUAUUUUUCUGAAGAGCUUGACAUACCUGUAAGCAAAAAAGGGGAAAAUCCUAAUCUUGCUUCAUCGAAUUCAUCAACCCGUCGCAGGUUUCCUAAGGCAGGAGCUGCACAUAAGAGGUUAGUUAGAAACUUGAGCCCUACGUGUUUUUCUUUUACGCAGUCAACAAACUUGUUUGAUUUUAUUUUUCUUCACUUUCUCAGACUAGAAAUUUAGAGCAUCAAGAUCAAUGUUGUUACUAGAAAUAAUGGAUUAUUGUUAAUCAUGCUGCCAUAUUCUGGUCAGCAUCAAUUAAAUUUAGACAGAGCAUAUCUGUUGCACUAUGUUCUCCAUGAUAAUUAUGCUGUAAUGAUAAAUUCUGCAAUGUUUCUUGACAUAAAGUACUGAACAUUUAAGAGAUCGACAUUUAAAAUUAUAUGUUGUAAUUCAAUAGAAUUAAUUAUCAUGUAGGAUAAAGAUGACAUUGGAACAUAGUUAACUGAAAAUAGAUAUUACAAAUGCUGUGGAGUAUGAGGCAAUUGCGAAGGAAAAAUUGCCUAAGAUGGUGUUUGAGUAAUAUGCAUGUGGUGCAGAGGAACACUGGACUCUGUUUGAGAAUAGGCAUGCUUUUUCAAGAAUUCUUAAGCCUUUUUAAUCUUUAUCUAUUAUCUAUAAAAGCUAAAUCAUUCCACUCAAAAUCUUUGGUUCAAUGCUUUACUUAUCAUUUAUAUAUGAACAAACUUAUGUGGAAAGUUGUAUAGCUGUUCUUUGGAAAAACUUCUUUUUUUUUUUUUCGAAUUAUAGGCUUCAACUCGCAUUCCUAUUGAUGUAAUCAAGAUAGACUUGGCCAAGGUCCUGUGUUGUGAGGUGAGGCACCAUUUCUUAUCUUUUAAAUAUAUACGAAAGCCUAAUUUUUCAGUAACAAAUGGUGGCAGGUGGAGACGAAGGAGAGAGAAGGAGAAGGGUUCUUCAAUCACUGACUCAAAGAGAAACCUGGGAGAAUUUCCAGAAGCACAAUGACAGAAGAAGCCACCCCAACCCAUAGCCCUUCUGCUUUGAUGACGCUCCUCUGAACCUCAAUUUUCCUUUGCUUUUCUCGACUUUUCUUUCCCUCAGAGCCGUGAAUGUCUACCAAUUAUUUAUUUAUUUAUUUAUUUUUUAUUCUCUCAACUCUCUGCAACAAAAAAGAGAAAAAAAAAUUGGAUUUUGUUUUAUGCGGGUUUUGUGGAGAUUGUUGAUUGCGUUGGUGUCUGGUUUAUUUGAAACAAACGGGAUUGAAAGAAAAGGGGAGUAGGGGAGCUGUUUAAUUGUAUCUUUCUUCCCUACCGGAGGAAAAUUUGGGGGUGAGAAUUAGAGGUGAAGCUCACUUAGCUUGGUUCAAAAUUUUGGUUUGUCUUUGUA